rnacentral:sRNA from 1 species
GCUGGGCAUGGUGGCACACGCCUGUAAUCCUAGCAGCUCGGGAGGCUGAGACAGGAGAAUCAGGAGUUCAAGGCCAGCCUCAGCAAUGGCCAGGUGAGGCACUAAGCAACUCAGUGAGACCCUGUCUCUA